rnacentral:rRNA from 1 species
GCUACGGGUGGCAGCAGUGAGGAAUAUUGGGCAAUGGGCGAGAGCCUGAACCAGCCAAGUCGCGUGAGGGAGUACUGCCCUAUGGGUUGUAAACCUCUUUUGUCGGGGAGCAAAAGCCGGACGUGUCCGGCUGUGAGAGUACCCGAAGAAAAAGCAUCGGCUAACGCCGUACCAGCAGCCGCGGUAAGACGGAGGAUGCGAGCGUUAUGAGGUUUUAUGUGGUUUAAAGGGUGCGCAGGCGGAUUUUUAAGACAGCGGUCACAUCGUGGGGCUCAACCCCAUCCAGCCGUUGAAACUGGGGAUCUAGAGUGUUCGAGAGGUAUGCGGAAUGCGUGGUGUAGCGGGGAAAUGCAUAGAUAGCACGCAGAACCCCGAUUGCGAAGGCAGCAUACCGGUGCACAACUGACGCUCAGGCACGAAAGCGUGGGUAUCGAACAGGAUUAGAUACCCUAGUAGUC